rnacentral:rRNA from 1 species
UACGGGGGGGGCAAGCGUUGUUCGGAAUUACUGGGCGUAAAGGGCUCGUAGGCGGCCAACUAAGUCAGACGUGAAAUCCCUCGGCUUAACCGGGGAACUGCGUCUGAUACUGGAUGGCUUGAAUCCGGGAGAGGGAUGCGGAAUUCCAGGUGUAGCGGUGAAAUUCGUAGAUAUCGAGAGGAACACCGGUGGCGAAGGCGGCGAUCUGGACGAUGACUGACGCUGAGACGCGAAAGCGUGGGGAGCAAACAGG